rnacentral:tRNA from 1 species
GUGCUGUAGCUCAGUUGGUAGAGCAACGGACUGAAAAUCCGUGUGUCACUGGUUCAAUUCCCG